UAUUGUAACCUUGCAUAGAGAAGAUGGGCAUUGAGGCAUAGAGCACGCAACAAGACCUUGUUUUUUGGGUCUCGAACGAUUGUUACGACCUACGCGCCAAUUGUAAUCGUAGGGGACAAGGGAAUACUGAUAUCCAUUAAUAAUUGGUGGUUGCCGAUUUAAUUGCUAGGCGCUAUCUGUGGUUCGGAUUUGACAAGGACGAGACAAACAAAGAACGGUUGGCGAAACCGAUGUGAGAAUGGAAUGAUAAAAUGGGGUAUGUACUGCCUCAUUGUGUAAGACAAACAUCACGAGGUUUACUCUCAGAUUUGGAGGAAGAUGUGUUAUCGGGUGGACUGUAAAACCUGUGGGAAGUACACAUGGGGGGGUUGUGGCAGGCAUUUGAACUCUCUCUACAACACCAUCGAUGAGCAAAAGCGCUGUGACUGCCGUCCCUGGCCUGGUGUUGCUGUCACACCCUCUCAACCAGCACCGCCGCAAUCUGCAAACCCCUCUCAAGGCAAUAGUAACCCUCAAAAUUCUUGAAGCAGCCUCGGAUGCUGAUCUGCUGUGAUUAUUUUAGCCUGAUGGUGGGAUGCAGAGGGAUAGAGAUGGAUAUUGUCGGAUGCCAUCGUGCCUUGCAAUAAACAAAUGGUUAAGGUCGCUUAUAUUAUAUUAAUAAAUGUAAUCUUCGACUAGUCAUGAGCUUGUGACUCAGAUUAUUCUAAAUUCUUCUCUAUGUUAAUGGGUCUAUUAAUAAAAAAUAAAGAAUAAAUUCCUCUGCUCUUGUGCUAGCUA